AUUGAACGCUGGCGGCAGGCCUAACACAUGCAAGUCGGGCGGUAACAGGAAUCAGCUUGCUGAUUCGCUGACGAGCGGCGGACGGGUGAGUAAUGUCUGGGAAACUGCCUGAUGGAGGGGGAUAACUACUGGAAACGGUAGCUAAUACCGCAUAACGUCUACGGACCAAAGUGGGGGACCUUCGGGCCUCAUGCCAUCAGAUGUGCCCAGAUGGGAUUAGCUAGUAGGUGGGGUAACGGCUCACCUAGGCGACGAUCCCUAGCUGGUCUGAGAGGAUGACCAGCCACACUGGAACUGAGACACGGUCCAGACUCCUACGGGAGGCAGCAGUGGGGAAUAUUGCACAAUGGGCGCGAGCCUGAUGCAGCCAUGCCGCGUGUAUGAAGAAGGCCUUCGGGUUGUAAAGUACUUUCAGCGGGGAGGUAGGUGUUGUGGUUAAUAACCGCAGCAAUUGACGUUACCCGCAGAAGAAGCACCGGCUAACUCCGUGCCAGCCGCCGCCGUAA
rnacentral:rRNA from 1 species